rnacentral:rRNA from 1 species
GACAGAGGAUGCAAGCGUUAUCCGGAAUGAUUGGGCGUAAAGCGUCUGUAGGUGGCUUUUAAGUCCGCCGUCAAAUCCCAGGGCUCAACCCUGGACAGGCGGUGGAAACUACCAAGCUAGAGUACGGUAGGGGCAGAGGGAAUUUCCGGUGGAGCGGUGAAAUGCGUAGAGAUGUGGAGGAACACCGAUGGCGAAGGCAGCCCCCUGGGUCAAGAUUGACGCUCAUGCACGAAAGCGUGGGGAGCAAACAGG